GACGUGAGGUGACAGAGUGGUGUCAUCUGAUCGUGGUUACACCAAUGCCAAUGGAAAGAUACGAUUAACAAUUUAAUGAACUAAAUUUAACUCUCAAGUAAGAUGAUUAGUUCACCCCAUGAAAACGCCAAAAGAGGCAGUCUCUGAAAUUAACCCAAAAUCCAAUUUUUCUACCGAAUUUGGUACAGUGAACAGAUACUGGCAGAUGACUCUUGAAUCCAAAAGCUCAUUACGUUCAUAAGACUAUAUUGAAGGUGCAACCCAGCAUUGGAAGGAAUUCGUAACGCUCAGAAGGUUUUCAAUGAUGUCCUGGUGGAUGAUCAUAUUUUUGAGGAGCACGUGGAAAGUGUUGAAAGAUUUUUUUAAGAUGUUGAGAGUAAAGUAUUUCUUUAGUAAAGAGAAGUUCCAAUUUUUAUGUAAAGAUAUUAAUUUCGUCGGUUACAAGAUUUGUAAGGAUAGUAUCACGUCAGAUGGAAAGAAGUUAAAAGGAAACCAUGAAUUUCCUAUACCUACAAAUAAAACAAAUUUGAGAUCAUUGAUUGGCUUAGCAAAUCAACUUCCAAGUUUUUCAUCAAAAUUUACUAAAGUAGCAGAGCCACUAAUGUAUCUGAAGAAGUCAAAAAAUGAAUUUGUUUAGGAAAAUGUACAUAUAUCAAAGCCAUGAAUGAAGUGAAGGACGUUUUAAUGAAUAUCCCUAUUCUACCACAUAUCUUUUAAAAUAAUUUGUUGUAAUAUCAAUAUUAUUAGAAAUAUUAUGUAAUUAUUGUGAAAAUUGUAAAUUGUGUAAACUUCAAGUUUCCACCCGAUAUAUUGAGACAUUUAUCUUUAAAUUAUUGUUUAGUUCUAAUGUAUACAUAAGAAGUUUAGAGAGAGAAAUACAUAGAGGUGACAAGGUCCACGAAAGAUUGAGCAAUGUAUUCUAGCUGACAAAUGGGGUAUGUUCAAAGUAAGGACGUCACAUUCAUUUUUGAUUAAUAUAUCAAUAUCAGAGUAGAUUGCCCAUUGAAUGAACUUAUGAAUGAAAUAUAUUUUAACAAAAUAUA
rnacentral:lncRNA from 1 species